AUGUCCCGUCUCUCCUCUGGUCCACCCGUCUCUCCUCUGGUCCACCCGUCUCUCCUCUGGUCCACCUGUCUCUCCUCUGGUCCACCCGUCUCUCCUCUGGUCCACCCGUCUCUCCUCUGGUCAGCCUGUCUCUCCUCUGGUCAGCCUGUCUCUCCUCUGGUCAGCCUGUCUCUCCUCUGGUCCACCCGUCUCUCCUCUGGUCCACCCGUCUCUCCUCUGGUCCACCCGUCUCUCCUCUGGUCAGCCUGUCUCUCCUCUGGUCAGCCUGUCUCUCCUCUGGUCAGCCUGUCUCUCCUCUGGUCCACCUGUCUCUCCUCUGGUCAGCCUGUCUCUCCUCUGGUCAGCCUGUCUCUCCUCUGGUCAGCCUGUCUCUCCUCUGGUCCACCCGUCUCUCCUCUGGUCCACCCGUCUCUCCUCUGGUCAGCCCGUCUCUCCUCUGGUCAGCCUGUCUCUCCUCUGGUCCACCCGUCUCUCCUCUGGUCAGCCUGUCUCUCCUCUGGUCCCCGUCUCUCCUCUGGUCAGCCUGUCUCCUCUGGUCCACCCGUCUCUCCUCUGGUCCACCCGUCUCUCCUCUGGUCAGCCUGUCUCUCCUCUGGUCCACCUGUCUCUCUCCUCUGGUCCGCCGCCGUCUCUCCUCUGGUCCGCCUGUCUCUCCUCUGGUCAGCCUGUCUCUCCUCUGGUCCACCCUCUCUCUCUGGUCCACCCGUCUCUCCUCUGGUCCCCUCUCUCCUCUGGUCAGCCUGUCUCUCUCUGGUCCACCCUCUCUCCUCUGGUCAGCCCGUCUCUCCCUCGGUCCACCCGUCUCUCCCUCUCCCUGGUCAGCCUGUCUUCCCCUCCUCUGGUCAGCUGUCUCUCCUCUGGUCCACCCGUCUCUCCUCUGGUCAGCCUGUCUCUCCUCUGGUCCACCUGUCUCUCCUCUGGUCCACCCGUCUCUCCUCUGGUCAGCCUGUCUCUCCUCUGGUCCGCCUGUCUCUCCUCUGGUCCACCUGUCUCUCCUCUGGUCAACCUGUCUGGAGUCCUUCUGGUUUCUGGCUCCUUUGGGAGGUUUUUGUUGCUUGUUUAUCACCUUCAGUUCUGCUAAAACACCCUCCAGAAUUUGAGUACAGCCAUUCAAAUGUUUCACAGCACAAAGGUUGUGGGUUUGAGUCCCUUCCAGAGAACCUCUGUGUUGAGUUUCCAUCUUUCUUCAUCAUGAUAAAUAAACAGCUAUAG
rnacentral:lncRNA from 1 species